CAAAUUAGAGCUUGAAAUAAAGUAUUUCAUUUACAUUGAAAAGAUAUUAAAUAAUAAUUAAUUUGA
rnacentral:tRNA from 1 species